rnacentral:rRNA from 1 species
CCCUUAGAUGUUCUGGGCCGCACGCGCGCUACACUGACGAAUGCAACGAGCUUAUAACCUUGGCCGAAAGGUCUGGGUAAUCUCCAAAUCUCGUCGUGAUGGGGAUAGAUUAUUGCAAUUAUUAAUCUUCAACGAGGAGUGCCUAGUAAGCGCAAGUCAUCAGCUUGCGUUGAUUACGUCCCUGCCCUUUGUACACACCGCCCGUCGCUCCUACCGAUUGAAUGGUCCGGUGAAGCGUUCGGACCGUGGCCUUUGGACGGUUCGCCGUCUGUUGGCUGCGGGAAGUUCGUUAAACCUUAUCAUUUAGAGGAAGGAGAAGUCGUAACA